rnacentral:lncRNA from 1 species
ACAGACAUUUAACACACACAGUUAGGAGUAAAUCACACAGUUAGGAGUAAAAGGUUAUCAUUCAAUAAAUGUACAGCUAGUUUGUGAUAGCUCAUAAAUAUAAUUAACUGUGUUGUUAAGUAUUCUGGAACUAGUCAUGACACCAGGAUUUUGACGGAGUCAAAGCUGUACCAAGCUUAUGAAGUAUACAUCCUUGAUCAGUCACGUGAUAAACCCAAGAAACAAUUGAACAUGCUGAAAAGACGCCUUCCUUGCCUUUCAAAGAAACAUCAAGGUACAGUCCAAAGAGAGCUAUAGUUAUCAUCAUGGCAUGCAUAGUAUUACACAAGUAUAGUAUGCAUUCUGUAUGAUGAGCAUGAUGAUAAUCAUGAUACUGAACUUUAUGGAGGUCAACCAGCCUUAAGUGCAAGAACAAAGCAAGAGUCCCUUAUUUACAGAUCCUUCUCCUACAGCUUUAAUAUUUGAUGCACAGAGGAACUCUCAUUUCCACAAGUGUUGCAGCAGGGACCAGAUGAUGGAAGUCGCAUGAUUCUUUGUGACACUCUCCCUAUGAGGGAUUAGGAUGAAGAGGGUACCAACUGGGAAAUAGAUGUGCUUCUAGAAAGUGAUUUAAAUUUGUAUGAAACCAGAUAAUUCAAGCAAUUUUCUCUUUGUAUAAUAUUUUUGUACAGUAAAAGAGCUUUUUUCAAUGAAAAUAGUUUUGUCUUAGUUUUAAAUAUCUGUGUGGCUCAGUAAGCACACAUUGUAGGUUUUGGAGCCUACAUGUAUAUACUGUAGUUCUUAGCAUUUACAGGUGUAUACUAUAGAUUUUAGUGUGCCCAUGUUUUUUUCCCCUCUGUUGGACCACCACUUUGCCAUGGCCAAGUGGCAUUCUUGUCUUGAUGACCCCGAGAAGGAGAAGUAUGCCAACAGGAGCACUAGCUCCUGACAUGGUCACCCAUGUUGGAGGGAUCAAAAGUGGUUCACUGGUCCUCUAAGUUAAAGGGGAGGGGCAAUGGACUAACAAUUCAUUCAUAUAAAAGCAUGUGCCUGUGGUUACUGAAACUGGCGACAUUCCAACAAACUGUGGGAGAUGUCUGAGAUGGCAAUUACAAGAUUGCGUACUGAAAAAUAUUUCAUUUAUAAUACAUAAUAUGCAAAAUACAGAUUACAUGAACUACAAUUAUGUUUGUACCUGGAUUCACCUUUUCAACUGAACAAUUUUCAUUAUCACCUGAAUAAAGUAGAGAGGGACCACUUGAACUGCUAUUGAAUAGUCCUGAGCUCAUUUCAAUAGGGGGAGAGAGCAGUAACAUUACAUUUCUCACUUGCUGCUGACCAGAAUGAAAACUAAUACAUAGUGUACGGCAGAAUUUACGUUUAAUGAUUGCAAAAAAACUACAAAAUAAAAGAUUUUAUAUAUAUAUAACAUCUGUCAACUCCUUUUUCAAGACAGCAAUUUAGGAUUCUUGCACUUUCUUUUUUUUUUUUCCUCAUAAAAUAUGUGCAUGUUAACAUGUUAGAAUGUUGGUACCACGCAGCAUAACAGACAUACAUGUUACACUAAAUUCAUCAACCAAUACAUGAAUGCUGACUAACAGUGACAUGAUCUAAUGCACAUUCAGCUAUGAGGACUUAAGAGUGAAAAGUUAACUGAAUCAACACAAAAAAGAACUACAGCUAGUAAGUUUCAACUAAUUACAAUAAUAUAUAUAUAAAGUAAAAUAAAAAUUACAUGAAUAUUUAAGAACUAUUAACAUUGUUCAAAAAAAAAAAUGCCAUGAUUCAUGACACUGGUUAUAAAUAGACAAGAAUGAUCAAUUAACAGAGUGCUUAAAUAUUUUUUAGUAACUGAUGUGUUCAACACCAUUGAAACUUGGAUAAAUAAUGAUAAAAGCAAAAUUUUUAAAGCACAUACCCUCCUAAGGAGCAUGUUCUAAGCGCUUAAGAACAAG